rnacentral:rRNA from 1 species
AUACGGAGGGGGCUAGCGUUGUUCGGAAUCACUGGGCGUAAAGCGCACGUAGGCGGAUUGGUUAGUUGGGGGUGAAAUCUCGGGGCUCAACCCCGGAACUGCCUCCAAAACUGCCAGUCUCGAGUCCGGGAGAGGUGAGUGGAAUUCCGAGUGUAGAGGUGAAAUUCGUAGAUAUUCGGAGGAACACCAGUGGCGAAGGCGACUCACUGGCCCGGUACUGACGCUGAGGUGCGAAAGCGUGGGGAGCAAACAGGAUUAGAUACCCCGGUAGUCC